rnacentral:rRNA from 1 species
GUGCCAGCAGCCGCGGGUAAUACGGAGGGUGCGAGCGUUAAUCGGAAUUACUGGGCGUAAAGCGCAUGCAGGUGGUCUGUUAAGUCAGAUGUGAAAGCCCCGGGCUCAACCCGGGAAUAGCAUUUGAAACUGUCAGGCUAGAGUACUGUAGAGGGGGGUAGAAUUUCAGGUGUAGCGGUGAAAUGCGUAGAGAUCUGAAGGAAUACCAGUGGCGAAGGCGGCCCCCUGGACAGAUACUGACACUCAGAUGCGAAAGCGUGGGGAGCAAACAGGAUUAGAUACCCUGGUAGUCC